AGAAUCAACGCUGGCGGCGUGCCUAACACAUGCAAGUCGCACGAGAAAGGGUAGCAAUACCUGAGUACAGUGGCGCACGGGUGAGUAACACGUGAAUGAUCUACCUCCGAGUGGGGAAUAACUGAGAGAAAUCUUAGCUAAUACCGCAUAAUACCCACGGGUCAAAGCAGCAAUGCGCUUGGAGAGGAGUUCGCGGCCGAUUAGCUAGUUGGCGGGGUAAUGGCCCACCAAGGCGAUGAUCGGUA
rnacentral:rRNA from 1 species